rnacentral:rRNA from 1 species
UAGCCGACCUGAGAGGGUGAUCGGCCACACUGGAACUGAGACACGGUCCAGACUCCUACGGGAGGCAGCAGUAGGGAAUCUUCCGCAAUGGGCGAAAGCCUGACGGAGCAACGCCGCGUGUGCGAAGAAGGUCUUCGGAUCGUAAAGCACUGUUGUUAAGGAAGAACGACAGUAAGAGUAACUGCUUACUGUGUGACGGUACUUAACCAGAAAGCCACGGCUAACUACGUGCCAGCAGCCGCGGUAAUACGUAGGUGGCAAGCGUUAUCCGGAAUUAUUGGGCGUAAAGCGCGCGUAGGCGGCGAGAUUAGUCUGAUGUGAAAGCCCCCGGCUCAACCGGGGAAGGUCAUUGGAAACUGUUUCGCUUGAGUGCAGAAGAGGAGAGUGGAAUUCCAUGUGUAGCGGUGAAAUGCGCAGAGAUAUGGAGGAACACCAGUGGCGAAGGCGGCUCUCUGGUCUGCAACUGACGCUGAUGUGCGAAAGCGUGGGGAUCAAACAGGAUUAGAUACCCUGGUAGUCCACGCCGUAAACGAUGAGUGCUAAGUGUUAGGGGGUUUCCGCCCCUCAGUGCUGCAGCUAACGCA